UACGGAGGGUGCAAGCGUUGUUCGGAAUCAUUGGGCGUAAAGCGCGUGUAGGCGGCUUGGCAAGUCGGUUGUGAAAGCCCGGGGCCCAACCCCGGAACUGCAUCUGAAACUGCCUGGCGUAGAGUCCCGGAGAGGAAGGCAGAAUUCCCGGUGUAGGGGUGAAAUCCGUAGAUAUCGGGAGGAAUACCAGCGGCGAAGGCGGCCUUCUGGACGGUGACUGACGCUGAGACGCGAAAGCGUGGGGAGCAAAACAGG
rnacentral:rRNA from 1 species